CACGUAGGGUGCGAGCGUUGUCCGGAAUUAUUGGGCGUAAAGAGCUCGUAGGCGGUGUGUCGCGUCGGCCGUGAAAACCUGCAGCUUAACUGUGGGCUUGCGGUCGAUACGGGCAUCACUGGAGUUCGGCAGGGGAGACUGGAAUUCCUGGUGUAGCGGUGAAAUGCGCAGAUAUCAGGAGGAACAUCGGUGGCGAAGGCGGGUCUCUGGGCCGAUACUGACGCUGAGGAGCGAAAGCGUGGGGAGCAAACAGG
rnacentral:rRNA from 1 species